GGAAACAAAGAACUCAAUUUCCUUUCUCUUUCUUAAAACUCUCAAACCAAACGCCCCCUUAUAAUUCAAGUCCUUAAUAGGUAGUUAACUCUAAUCUAAUCUAAGCCGAAAAAACCCUAGUUUUCUCUCUCCUCCCAUAUCUACAUCCAUGGCUGCCAGAUAAUUUCAUCACGAUAUGCUCGAAUUUUCAGUUGAAUUGAAUUGAAUCUCAGGCCAUCUGUGCCUUGCAAUCUAAUUGAUUGGUCGGUCCCUUCGCCAGAUUUACUCAACCCUCCGCCAUCGGUGGGUCUUUGCUCCGAUUUAGCCCGGGCAACAACUCUUCUCUCCCUGGGUGGAUAAGGCUGGUGAGAGAAGCUGUGAAAAAAGGAGGUGAAGAUUCGUCCGUUGCAAAGAAGCGAACGUCUGCCCAGAUCGAUGUCGCCGACAUCGACUCCGACCGCCGCCGCUGGUGGCUCAGCAACCGAAACAAGGAGACCAUAUGGCCAGAUCUGAAGCGAUUUGGAGCCAAAGCGAUUGAGCGGCCUCCUCCACCGCUGUGGGGCUGCUGUUUUAGAACUAGUUUUUUUUUUCUUUUUUCUUGUAAUUUAGUUAUCUAGUAGUCUCUCCCUGAGAUAGGGAUUCUACUAGUUUUAGGUUUCUGGUGGAUAUUUCCCUGAGAUAGGGAUCCACUAGUACCUCAUGUACCUCCAAAAAAAAAAAAAAUCAGGUCCAUCAUGUUUCUAGUUGACUAUAUAUAUCUUAAACAUUAUCUUUUUAA